rnacentral:rRNA from 1 species
AUGUGCGUGGUCGGAGGCAUAAACAACUACACCGCCGCGCUCCAAGACUCCUCAAGCUCGUAUAAUCGGACGGAGAGCCUGCUGUUCCUGGCGCACUUCCUCGGCGACGUCCACCAGCCGAUGCACUGCGGCCGCACCGCCGACCUCGGCGGUAACACCAUCCUCGUCACCUCGUACAGCACAGCCAAGACCAACCUUCACAAGGUGUGGGAUGACAAGGUCAUCCAGAAGGCUCUGAGAAAGUUCUACAAGGACGACCUAAGCACCAUGAUCGACGCCAUCAAGCUCAACCUUACUGAAAAUUGGUCCACCGAAGAGAACCAGUGGGCGGCGUGCAGUACACAAACAACAACUUGUGCUGACAGGUACGCCGAGGAGAGCGCGGAGCUGUCGUGCCCGGCAUACGUGGGUGUUGAGCAGUACUCCAACUUAGAAGAUGAAUAUUUCUUCUCGGCGAUGCCGGUUGUUGAGAAGAGGAUUGCCCAGGGAGGCGUGAGGCUGGCGGCCAUCCUCAACCGGAUCUUCAGUGGGGAGAACAACAGCAGGCUGCAGAGCCUUUGA